rnacentral:rRNA from 1 species
AACGAACGCUGGCGGCAUGCCUAACACAUGCAAGUCGAACGAGACCUUCGGGUCUAGUGGCGCACGGGUGCGUAACGCGUGGGAAUCUGCCCUUUGCUUCGGAAUAACAGUUAGAAAUGACUGCUAAUACCGGAUGAUGUCUUCGGACCAAAGAUUUAUCGCCUAAGGAUGAGCCCGCGUAAGAUUAGCUUGUUGGUGAGGUAAAGCUCACCAAGGCGACGAUCUUUAGCUGGUCUGAGAGGAUGAUCAGCCACACUGGGACUGAGACACGGCCCAGACUCCUACGGGAGGCAGCAGUGGGGAAUAUUGGACAAUGGGCGAAAGCCUGAUCCAGCAAUGCCGCGUGAGUGAUGAAGGCCUCGGUUGUAAGGUACACUUUACCUAGUACGA